rnacentral:rRNA from 1 species
UACGUAGGGGGCAAGCGUUGUCCGGAUUUAUUGGGCGUAAAGAGCGUGUAGGCGGCCAGACAGGUCCGUUGUGAAAACUCGAGGCUCAACCUCGAGAUGUCGAUGGAAACCGUCUGGCUAGAGUCCGGAAGAGGAGUGUGGAAUUCCUGGUGUAGCGGUGAAAUGCGCAGAUAUCAGGAAGAACACCCGUGGCGAAGGCAGCUCGCUGGGACGGUACUGACGCUGAGACGCGAAAGCGUGGGGAGCAAACAGG